rnacentral:lncRNA from 1 species
AUUCUCCUGCCUCAGCUUCCGGAGCAGCUGGGACUGCUGGCGCCCGCCACUACGCUCGGCUAAUUUUUUUGUGUUUUUAGUAGAGACGGGCUUUCACCGUGUUGGCCUAGCGGUUCUCCAACUCCUGACCUCAUGAUCCCCCCGCCUCAGCCUCCCAAAGUGCUGGGAUUACAAGCGUGAGCCACCGCGACCCGCCAACACUCUUGACAACAGUGCUGUGCUAAGAACUUGGGGGACUUCAAAAAGUUCACCAGUUCCUGUGUCCAUGGGUGAAAAGAUUUUCUACAUCUUUCCUUGACUAGAAACAGAAGUCCUGAAACAAGAAUAUAACGUCAGGAGGCCAGAGGCUUUGUCCUGCCUAAUGUGUUAUUUCCACACUGAAUAAAAGCACCUGAGUCCUGGUUCUGGAGAUUGGGGCAUGAUAUCUUCCUUGGGCCAUUACUUGUCCUGCCACUUGGAAUAGGUGCUUAUAAGCCACCUCUAAGAUAAUGAAUAACUUGCAAUUUGAUCCGUGAUUUACAUAACGUGUAUGUUUUUCCUGUUUGCAAAGGCAUAUGGCAAGGGAGUAAAGCCAAACUUUUUACCACAUGGCAAAAAUAAUUGUAUUUUGCAACAGACUAAAAGCUUAAUGCUAUACAGACUUUGGGUUGGUGGAGUUACUUGAGGAUUUACUCCAGCAAAACAAAAAAAAGAAUGAAAGAAAGAGAAAGAUAAAAAUAUGAAAGAAGCAACAGACCUAUUCCAGAAAUGUAAUGAAAAAAGGCCACGAAGUUUGACAACUAUGUAUUAAAUUUACAAUCAGUCCAAAUUAGACUGGUAGUCAGAUUGAUAUGAGAAGUACAUUUUCAAAAAGAUGUACUAUACCAAAUAAUAUGAGUGCAAAACUCUGGAUGAUUUUAGUAAUAAUGUGAAGACACAUAUUUCUUUUGACAAUUAAAAAAAAGAAAAUGAAUUGGAAACUUCAGGAAACGUCAGAAAAUACAAAAUGCUCUGUAGGAAGUAAUUGUCUAAAUGAGAGGUGAAGCCAGUGGGACUUCCUGGAUUGGAUGGGGACUUGGAGAACUUUUCUGUCUAGCUAAAGGAUUGUAAACACACCAAUCAGUGCUCUGUGUCUAGCUAAAGGAUCGCAAAUGCACCAAUCAGCACUCUGUAAAAAUUCUGUGUCUAGCUAAAGGUUUGUAAAUGCACCAAUCAGCAAUCUGUUAGAAUGCACCAAUCAGUGCUCUGUGUCUAGCUAAAGGUUUGUAGAUGCACCAAUCAGCACUCUGUAAAAACGCAUCAAUCAGCGUUCUGUGUCUAGCUAAAGGUUUGUAGACACAUCAAUCAGCACUCAGUAAAAACGCACCAAUCAGCACUCUGUAAAAUGGACCAGUCAGCGCUCUGUAAAAUGGACCAAUCAGCAGGAUGUGGGCGGAGCCAAUAAGGGAAUAAAAGCUGGCCACCAGAGCCAGCCAGUGGCAACCUGCUUGGGUCCCCUUCCACCCUGUGGAAGCUUUAUUCUUUUGCCCUUCACAAUAAAUCUUGCUGCUGCUUACUCUUUGGGUCUACAUUACCUUUAUGAGCUGUAUCGCUCACCAUGAGGGUCUGCGGCUUCACUCCUGAGGUCAGCGAGACCACGAACCCACUGGGAGGAACAAACAACUCCAGAAGCACAACCUUUAAGAGCUGUAACACUCACUGUGAAGGUCUGUGGCUUCACUCCUGAAGUCAGCGAGACCACGAACCCACCAGAAGGAAGAAACUCCGGACACAUCUGAAAUCUGAAGAAACAAACUCUGGACACACCAUCUUUAAGAACUGUAACACUCACUGCGAGGGUCCCCGACUUCAUUCUUAAAGUCAGUGAGACCAAGAACCCACUGGAAGGAACCAAUUCUGGGCACAUAAAUAUGCAGCAAAAUACAAUAUGGUAUGAUUUUGAGCAAUUGAUGAAUAUGUAGAAAAAUUAUUCAAUCCUGAUGUUUGAAAUAUGCUACUUUGAGUAGCAGCCUUGUAGUGACCUAAAUGUAUUUCUGUAGAUAAAAUUGAACUAUGUGGUACUAUAGUGAAUAAUGUGUGUUACAAUAUAAUAGCAUGCACAAUUGUAUAUAUGAAGUUUAGAACACUUCUACAUUUUAAUAUCUGUAAUAUGAUUAUACUCAUAUAUGUGUACUCAGAUUUUAAAACAUAAUAAAAUAUAAAUGUUA